rnacentral:rRNA from 1 species
GGACGAACGCUGGCGGCGUGCUUAACCCAUGCAAGUCGAACGGUGAAGCGCCUUCCUUUUUGGUGGGUGUGGAUGAGUGGCGAACGGGUGAGUAACACGUGAGUAACCUGCCCCCUUCUUCUGGAUAACCGCAUGAAAGUGUGGCUAAUACGGGAUAUUCUGGGUCUGUCGCAUGAUGGGUCUGGGAAAGAUAUUGUUUCGGUGGGGGAUGGGCUCGCGGCCUAUCAGCUUGUUGGUGGGGUGAUGGCCUCCCAAGGCGGUGACGGGUAGCCGGCCUGAGAGGGUGGACGGUCACACUGGGACUGAGACACGGCCCAGACUGCUACGGGAGGCAGCAGUGGGGAAUAUUGCACAAUGGGCGCAAGCCUGAUGCAGCGACGCCGCGUGAGGGAUGGAGGCCUUCGGGUUGUGAACCUCUUUCGCCAGUGAAGCAGGCCUGCCUCGUUUGUGGGUGGGUUGACGGUAGCUGGAGAAGAAGCGCCGGCUAACUACGUG